rnacentral:rRNA from 1 species
UACAGAGGUGGCGAGCGUUGUUCGGAUUUACUGGGCGUAAAGGGCGCGCGGGCGGUCUCGUGUGACGGAUGUGAAAUCUCCGGGCUCAACCCGGAAAGUGCGUCCGAAACUGCGGGGCUGGAGCAAGGGAGAGGAAAGCGGAACUCAUGGUGUAGCGGUGAAAUGCGUUGAUAUCAUGAAGAACACCGGUGGCGAAGGCGGCUUUCUGGAACUUGGCUGACGCUUAGGCGCGAAAGUGGGGGGAGCAAAC